CCAAACUGGGAUUAGAUACCCCACUAUGCUUAGCCCUAAACCUAGAUAGUUAGCUCAAACAAAACUAUCCGCCAGAGAACUACUAGCAACAGCUUAAAACUCAAAGGACUUGGCGGUGCUUUAUAUCCCUCUAGAGGAGCCUGUUCUAUAAUCGAUAAACCCCGAUAAACCUCACCAUCUCUUGCUAAUUCAGCCUAUAUACCGCCAUCUUCAGCA
rnacentral:rRNA from 1 species